rnacentral:rRNA from 1 species
CGUAACAAGGUCUCCGUAGGUGAACCUGCGGAGGGAUCAUUACACAAAUAUGAAGGCGGGCUGGAACCUCUCGGGGUUACAGCCUUGCUGAAUUAUUCACCCUUGUCUUUUGCGUACUUCUUGUUUCCUUGGUGGGUUCGCCCACCACUAGGACAAACAUAAACCUUUUGUAAUUGCAAUCAGCGUCAGUAACAAAUUAAUAAUUACAACUUUCAACAACGGAUCUCUUGGUUCUGGCAUCGAUGAAGAACGCAGCGAAAUGCGAUAAGUAGUGUGAAUUGCAGAAUUCAGUGAAUCAUCGAAUCUUUGAACGCACAUUGCGCCCUUUGGUAUUCCAAAGGGCACGCCUGUUCGAGCGUCAUUUGUACCCUCAAGCUUUGCUUGGUGUUGGGCGUCUUGUCUCUAGCUUUGCUGGAGACUCGCCUUAAAGUAAUUGGCAGCCGGCCUACUGGUUUCGGAGCGCAGCACAAGUCGCACUCUCUAUCAGCAAAGGUCUAGCAUCCAUUAAGCCUUUUUUUCAACUUUUGACCUCGGAUCAGGUAGGGAUACCCGCUGAACUUAAGCAUAUCA